AACUCAUGCCCCGGGUGCGUCGCAGCCCCGGACCAAGGCGCCCGCCGGAGGACCAACCAAAACUCUUUUUGUAUACCCCCUCGCGGGUUUUUUAUAAUCUGAGCCUUCUCGGCGCCUCUCGUAGGCGUUUCGAAAAUGAAUCAAAACUUUCAACAACGGAUCUCUUGGUUCUGGCAUCGAUGAAGAACGCAGCGAAAUGCGAUAAGUAAUGUGAAUUGCAGAAUUCAGUGAAUCAUCGAAUCUUUGAACGCACAUUGCGCCCGCCAGUAUUCUGGCGGGCAUGCCUGUCCGAGCGUCAUUUCAACCCUCGAACCCCUCCGGGGGGUCGGCGUUGGGGAUCGGCCUCCUUCACGGGGGCCGUCUCCGAAAUACAGUGGCGGUCUCGCCGCAGCCUCUCCUGCGCAGUAGUUUGCACACUCGCAUCGGGAGCGCGGCGCGUCCACAGCCGUUAAACACCCAACUUCUGAAAUGUUGACCUCGGAUCAGGUAGGAAUACCCGCUGAACUUAAGCAUAUCA
rnacentral:rRNA from 1 species